GGCCUUAUACCCCGGUGAGAGCACGCGCCAGAUAAGCGCGUACACGUCGGUUCGAUUCCGACCGGGGGCACCA
rnacentral:tRNA from 1 species